CCAAAACUGGAUGGAGUAUUCCAAGUGUGGUCUUACCAAGACAUAAAGCUGGAUCCUUUGUGACUGAAUGUCCAGAAUCAAAGCUAUUUGUAAUAAUAGCUUACUUCUUGUUUGGAGAGAUAACAACACCCAUAUCAUAGCAAACACAGGGAUCCGGAGACCAGGCCACAAGACUGGCACAGUAUUCUCCUCUCCGCCCCCAUUCUCCAAAGUACGCCCGGUGCUCCCUUUGCUUUUUAAGCUCAGACUCAAAGAUGAAGAGAAGCCGAAGCGGCUGCACAAACUGUACAAGACCCUCGCAACUGCUCCAACAACACUGGCAAACAAUCCCCCGGCCCCCACGGCCGCCUCCACCGCCCUUGUCCCACAGCAGGUCCGGGGUCUCU